rnacentral:rRNA from 8 species
UGACUCCUUGAGAGUCCUGAAGGAACGUUGAAGACGACGACGUUGAUAGGCCGGGUGUGUAAGCGCAGCGAUGCGUUGAGCUAACCGGUACUAAUGAACCGUGAGGCUUAACCUUACAACGCCGAAG